rnacentral:rRNA from 1 species
CCUACGGGAGGCUGCAGUGGGGAAUAUUGGGCAAUGGACGCAAGUCUGACCCAGCCACGCCGCGUGAAGGAAGAAGGCCUUCGGGUUGUAAACUUCUUUUAAGGGGGAAGAGCAGAAGACGGUACCCCUUGAAAAAGCCACGGCGAACUACGUGCCAGCAGCCGCGGUAAUACGUAGGUGGAAAGCGUUGUCCGGAUUUUCUGGGUGUAAAGGGUGUGCAGCCGGAGAGACAAGUCAGCUGUGAAAUCCACGGGCUCAACCCGUGAACUGCAUUUAAGACUGUUUCCCUUGAGUAUCGGAGAGGUAAUCGGAAUACCUUGUGUAGAGGUGAAAUGCGUAGAUAUAAGGUAGAACACCAGUGGCGAAGGCGGAUUACUGGACGAUAACUGACGGUGAGGCGCGAAAGCGUGGGGAGCAAACAGGAUUAGAUACCCCAGUAGUC